rnacentral:rRNA from 1 species
AGAUCAGUACGCUGGUCGUGCCUUUGGUAUGCACUGGUGUCACUGGUUUCUCCCUUCUGAAGAACUGUCAUGCCAUUCAGUUGGUGUGGCGGGGAAUCAGGACUGUUACUUUGAAAGAAUUAGAGUGUUUAAAGCAGGCUCGCGCUUGAAUACAUUAGCAUGGAAUAAUGAAAUAGGACGUUCGAUCCUAUUUUGUUGGUUUCUAGGAUUGACGUA